GACGAACGCUGGCGGCGUGCUUAACACAUGCAAGUCGAACGGAAAGGCCCUGCUUUUGUGGGGUGCUCGAGUGGCGAACGGGUGAGUAACACGUGAGUAACCUGCCCUUGACUUUGGGAUAACUUCAGGAAACUGGGGCUAAUACCGGAUAGGAGCUCCUGCUGCAUGGUGGGGGUUGAAAAGUUUCGGCGGUUGGGGAUGGACUCGCGGCUUAUCAGCUUGUUGGUGGGGUAGUGGCUUACCAAGGCUUUGACGGGUAGCCGGCCUGAGAGGGUGACCGGCCACAUUGGGACUGAGAUACGGCCCAGACUCCUACGGGAGGCAGCAGUGGGGAAUAUUGCACAAUGGGCGGAAGCCUGAUGCAGCAACGCCGCGUGCGGGAUGACGGCCUUCGGGUUGUAAACCGCUUUCGCCUGUGACGAAGCGUGAGUGACGGUAAUGGGUAAAGAAGCACCGGCUAACUACGUGCCAGCAGCCGCGGUGAUACGUAGGGUGCGAGCGUUGUCCGGAUUUAUUGGGCGUAAAGGGCUCGUAGGUGGUUGAUCGCGUCGGAAGUGUAAUCUUGGGGCUUAACCCUGAGCGUGCUUUCGAUACGGGUUGACUUGAGGAAGGUAGGGGAGAAUGGAAUUCCUGGUGGAGCGGUGGAAUGCGCAGAUAUCAGGAGGAACACCAGUGGCGAAGGCGGUUCUCUGGGCCUUUCCUGACGCUGAGGAGCGAAAGCGUGGGGAGCGAACAGGCUUAGAUACCCUGGUAGUCCACGCUGUAAACGGUGGGUACUAGGUGUGGGGUCCAUUCCACGGGUUCCGUGCCGUAGCUAACGCUUUAAGUACCCCGCCUGGGGAGUACGGCCGCAAGGCUAAAACUCAAAGGAAUUGACGGGGCCCCGCACAAGCGGCGGAGCAUGCGGAUUAAUUCGAUGCAACGCGUAGAACCUUACCUGGGUUUGACAUGGAUCGGGAGUGCUCAGAGAUGGGUGUGCCUCUUUUGGGGUCGGUUCACAGGUGGUGCAUGGCUGUCGUCAGCUCGUGUCGUGAGAUGUUGGGUUAAGUCCCGCAACGAGCGCAACCCUUGUUCACUGUUGCCAGCACGUUAUGGUGGGGACUCAGUGGAGACCGCCGGGGUCAACUCGGAGGAAGGUGGGGAUGACGUCAAGUCAUCAUGCCCCUUAUGUCCAGGGCUUCACGCAUGCUACAAUGGCUGGUACAGAGAGUGGCGAGCCUGUGAGGGUGAGCGAAUCUCGGAAAGCCGGUCUCAGUUCGGAUUGGGGUCUGCAACUCGACCUCAUGAAGUCGGAGUCGCUAGUAAUCGCAGAUCAGCAACGCUGCGGUGAAUAAGUUCCCGGG
rnacentral:rRNA from 1 species